GACGAACGCUGGCGGCGUGCUUAACACAUGCAAGUCGAACGGAAAGGCCCUGCUUUUGUGGGGUGCUCGAGUGGCGAACGGGUGAGUAACACGUGAGUAACCUGCCCUUGACUUUGGGAUAACUUCAGGAAACUGGGGCUAAUACCGGAUAGGAGUUCCUGCUGCAUGGGGGGGGUUGGAAAGUUUCGGCGGGUGGGGAUGGACUCGCGGCUUAUCAGCUUGUUGGUGGGGUAGUGGCUUACCAAGGCUUUGACGGGUAGCCGGCCUGAGAGGGUGACCGGCCACAUUGGGACUGAGGUACGGCCCAGACUCCUACGGGAGGCAGCAGUGGGGAAUAUUGCACAAUGGGCGGAAGCCUGAUGCAGCAACGCCGCGUGCGGGAUGACGGCCUUCGGGUUGUAAACCGCUUUCGCCUGUGCCGAAGCGUGAGUGACGGUAAUGGGUAAAGAAGCACCGGCUAACUACGUG
rnacentral:rRNA from 1 species